AGUGAACGCUGGCGGCAGGCCUAACACAUGCAAGUCGAACGGCAGCACAGAGGAGCUUGCUCCUUGGGUGGCGAGUGGCGGACGGGUGAGGAAUGCGUCGGAAUCUGCCUUUUUGUGGGGGAUAACGUAGGGAAACUUACGCUAAUACCGCAUACGACCUACGGGUGAAAGUGGGGGACCGCAAGGCCUCACGCAGAAAGAUGAGCCGACGCCGGAUUAGCUAGUUGGCGGGGUAAAGGCCCACCAAGGCGACGAUCCGUAGCUGGUCUGAGAGGAUGAUCGGCCACACUGGGACUGAGACACGGCCCAGACUCCUACGGGAGGCAGCAGUGGGGAAUAUUGGACAAUGGGCGCAAGCCUGAUCCAGCCAUGCCGCGUGUGUGAAGAAGGCCUUCGGGUUGUAAAGCACUUUUGUCCGGAAAGAAAUCCUUUCGAUUAAUACUCGGGAGGGAUGACGGUACCGGAAGAAUAAGCACCGGCUAACUUCGUGCCAGCCGCCGCGGUAAAAC
rnacentral:rRNA from 1 species